GUUGUAUGGUUAAGUGACUAAGCGUACACGGUGGAUGCCUUGGCAGUCAGAGGCGAUGAAGGACGUAUUAACUUGCGAUAAGCCCAGAUUAGGUAGUAAAAACCAUUUGAGUCUGGGAUUUCCGAAUGGGGAAACCCACUAGCAUAAGCUAGUAUCGCUGCGUGAAUACAUAGCGCAGCGAGGCGAACCGGGGGAACUGAAACAUCUAAGUACCCCGAGGAAAAGAAAUCAACCGAGAUUCCGAAAGUAGCGGCGAGCGAAAUUGGACUAGCCCUUAAGCUUUUUAUGCGUCAGGUGAAACUUCUGGAAAGUUGUGCGAUACAGGGUGAUAGCCCCGUAACCGGCAACGCAUUUAAAGUGAAAUCGAGUAGGGCGGGACACGUGAUAUCCUGUCUGAAUAUGGGGGGACCAUCCUCCAAGGCUAAAUACUACUGACUGACCGAUAGUGAACCAGUACCGUGAGGGAAAGGCGAAAAGAACCCCUGUGAGGGGAGUGAAAUAGAACCUGAAACCGUGUACGUACAAGCAGUAGGAGCACCUUCGUGGUGUGACUGCGUACCUUUUGUAUAAUGGGUCAGCGACUUAUAUUCAGUGGCAAGGUUAACCAUCUAGGGGAGCCGUAGGGAAACCGAGUCUUAACUGGGCGUUCAGUCUCUGGAUAUAGACCCGAAACCAGGUGAUCUAGCCAUGGGCAGGUUGAAGGUUGAGUAACAUCAACUGGAGGACCGAACCGACUAAUGUUGAAAAAUUAGCGGAUGACUUGUGGCUAGGGGUGAAAGGCCAAUCAAACCUGGAGAUAGCUGGUUCUCCCCGAAAGCUAUUUAGGUAGCGCCUCGGACGAAUACUACUGGGGGUAGAGCACUGUUAAGGCUAGGGGGUCAUCCCGACUUACCAACCCUUUGCAAACUCCGAAUACCAGUAAGUACUAUCCGGGAGACACACGGCGGGUGCUAACGUCCGUCGUGGAGAGGGAAACAACCCAGACCGCCAGCUAAGGUCCCAAAUUACUACUAAGUGGGAAACGAUGUGGGAAGGCUCAGACAGCCAGGAUGUUGGCUUAGAAGCAGCCAUCAUUUAAAGAAAGCGUAAUAGCUCACUGGUCGAGUCGGCCUGCGCGGAAGAUGUAACGGGGCUAAGUAGUAAACCGAAGCUGCGGCAAUGCACUUUAGUGCAUUGGGUAGGGGAGCGUUCUGUAAGCGGUUGAAGGUGUGUGGUAACGCAUGCUGGACGUAUCAGAAGUGCGAAUGCUGACAUGAGUAACGAUAAAGGGGGUGAAAAACCUCCUCGCCGGAAGACCAAGGGUUCCUGUCCAACGUUAAUCGGGGCAGGGUAAGUCGACCCCUAAGGCGAGGCCGAAAGGCGUAGUCGAUGGGAAACGGGUUAAUAUUCCCGUACUUCUUACAAUUGCGAUGGGGGGACGGAGAAGGCUAGGUGGGCCUGGCGACGGUUGUCCAGGUUCAAGUGCGUAGGCUGAGAGAUUAGGUAAAUCCGGUUUCUCUUAAGGCUGAGACACGACGUCGAGCUACUACGGUAGUGAAGUCAUUGAUGCCAUGCUUCCAGGAAAAGCCUCUAAGCUUCAGAUUGUAAGGAAUCGUACCCCAAACCGACACAGGUGGUCGGGUAGAGAAUACCAAGGCGCUUGAGAGAACUCGGGUGAAGGAACUAGGCAAAAUGGUACCGUAACUUCGGGAGAAGGUACGCUCUCGACGGUGAAGUCCCUUGCGGAUGGAGCUAUUGAGAGUCGCAGAUACCAGGUGGCUGCAACUGUUUAUUAAAAACACAGCACUGUGCAAAAUCGUAAGAUGACGUAUACGGUGUGACGCCUGCCCGGUGCCGGAAGGUUAAUUGAUGGGGUUAGACUUCGGUCGAAGCUCUUGAUCGAAGCCCCGGUAAACGGCGGCCGUAACUAUAACGGUCCUAAGGUAGCGAAAUUCCUUGUCGGGUAAGUUCCGACCUGCACGAAUGGCGUAAUGAUGGCCACGCUGUCUCCACCCGAGACUCAGUGAAAUUGAAAUCGCUGUGAAGAUGCAGUGUACCCGCGGCUAGACGGAAAGACCCCGUGAACCUUUACUACAGCUUGGCACUGAACAUUGACCCUACAUGUGUAGGAUAGGUGGGAGGCUUUGAAACUAGUACGCCAGUAUUAGUGGAGCCGUCCUUGAAAUACCACCCUUGUAGUGUUGAUGUUCUAACGUCGACCCCUUAUCGGGGUUGCGGACAGUGCCUGGUGGGUAGUUUGACUGGGGCGGUCUCCUCCCAAAGCGUAACGGAGGAGCACGAAGGUGGGCUAAUCACGGUUGGACAUCGUGAGGUUAGUGCAAUGGCAUAAGCCCGCUUGACUGCGAGAAUGACAAUUCGAGCAGGUGCGAAAGCAGGUCAUAGUGAUCCGGUGGUUCUGAAUGGAAGGGCCAUCGCUCAACGGAUAAAAGGUACUCCGGGGAUAACAGGCUGAUACCGCCCAAGAGUUCAUAUCGACGGCGGUGUUUGGCACCUCGAUGUCGGCUCAUCACAUCCUGGGGCUGAAGUCGGUCCCAAGGGUAUGGCUGUUCGCCAUUUAAAGUGGUACGCGAGCUGGGUUUAGAACGUCGUGAGACAGUUCGGUCCCUAUCUGCCGUGGGCGUUGGAAGAUUGAAGGGGGCUGCUCCUAGUACGAGAGGACCGGAGUGGACGAACCUCUGGUGUUCGGGUUGUGUCGCCAGACGCAUUGCCCGGUAGCUAAGUUCGGAAUCGAUAACCGCUGAAAGCAUCUAAGCGGGAAGCGAGCCCUGAGAUGAGUCUUCCCUGAUACUUUAAGUAUCCUAAAGGGUUGUUCGAGACUAGAACGUUGAUAGGCAGGGUGUGUAAGCGUUGUGAGGCGUUGAGCUAACCUGUACUAAUUGCCCGUGAGGCUUAACCAUACAACACCCAAGGGGUUU
rnacentral:rRNA from 1 species